CUACCGGGAACAUCUCUUACAAAGGCUUGUGCUAUGCAGUUUCUUCCCAGCCCUGAUCUCGCUGAAGUAGAAUUUCUGCCCUGCCAUGUCCUACAUUGCCCUAGAGGUGCAAGGUACAAUGUCCAGCAUUGGUUCCUCAACAGGAGACAGGCCAUAAAACGUGUUGCUUCUAGGUGUUUGGGAAGCUAAGAAACAACACGCUCUCCACAGUGCUCUUACAGCCUACCGGGAACAUGGCUCACAAAGGCCUGUGAAACGCAGUUUCUUCCCAGCUCUGAUCUCGCUCAAGUAGAACUUCUGCUCUGCCAUGCAAUACGUUGCCCCAGAGGUGGAAGUCACAAAGCCCUGUCUGGCAUCCUCAAGAGGAGACAGGCCACCGACCUUCUUACUUCCAGCUCUUGGUCAAGGUGAGAAUGAACUCGCUUUCCACAGGGUUCUUACAGCCUACUGGGAACAUCACAUACAAAAGCCUGAAACGCAGUUUGUUUCUAGCCAUGAUCUCACGGCCUUGGAACAUCUGCUCUAAGCCAUGUCCCACAUUGCUCUAGAGGUGGAAGACACAAAGUGCUGAGUUAUUGCAACCAAAGGAGACAAGCAACAAACGUUCUUGCUUCCAGCUCUUUGGGAAGCUAAGACACAACUCGCUAUCCACAGUGCUCUUACAGCCUGCUGGGAACAUCUCUCACAAAGGCCUGUGAAAGGCCAUUUCUUCCCAGCCCUGAUCUCGCUGAAGUAGAACUUCUGCUCUGCCGUGUCCUACAUUGCCCUAUAGCUGCAAGGCACAAAGUGCUGUCUUCUUUCCAAAGGGCGAGUUGGGCCCCAAAGCAUCUUGCUUCCAGCUCUUUGGGAAGCGUAAUAACAUCUCGCUCUGCACAGUGCUCUUACAGCCUACCGGGACAUCUCUGACAAAGGCCUGUGAAACGCAAUUUCUUUGCAGGCCUGAUCUGGCUGAAGUAGAACUUCUGCUCUGGGUGUGCUACAUUGCCCUAGAGCUGCAAGUCACAAAGUGCUGUCUUCUUUGCAAACGGCGAGGUGGUCCCCAGAGCAUCUUUCUUCCAGCUCUUUGGGAAGCUAAGAAUCAAGUCACUCUGCACAACGCUCUUACAGCCUACCGGGAACAUCUCUUACAAAGGCCUGUGAAACGCAGUUUCUUUGCAGGCCUGAUCUGGCUGAAGUAGAACUUCUGCUCUGGUUGUGCCACAUUUGCCUAGAGCUGCAAGGCAGAAAGUGCAGUCUUUUUUCCAAAGGGCGAGCUGGACCCCAAAGCAUCUUGCUUCCAUCUCUUUGGGAAGCUUAAUAACAACUCGCUCUGCAGAGUGCUCUUACAGCCUACUGGGACAUCUCUUACAAAGGCCUGUGAAACGCAGUUUCUUUGCAGGCCUGAUCUGGCUGAAGUAGAACUUCUGCUCUGGGUGUUCUACAUUGCCCUAGAGCUGAAAGGCAAGACGUGCAGUCUUCUUUCCAAAGGGCAAGUUGGGCCAGAAACCACCUUGCUUCCAGCUCUUUGGGAAGCUAAGAAAGAACUCGCUCUGCACAGUGCUCUUACAGCCUACCGGGAACAUCUCUUACAAAGACCUGUGAAAAGCAGUUUCUUUGCAGGCCUGAUCUGGCUGAAGUAGAACUUCUGCUCUGGUAUUCUACAUUGCCCUAGAGCUGAAAGGCACAACGUGCAGUCUUCUUUCCAAAGGGCGAGUUG
rnacentral:lncRNA from 1 species